GAUGAAGAACGUAGCGAAAUGCGAUAAGUAGUGUGAAUUGCAGAAUUCAGUGAAUCAUCGAAUCUUUGAACGCACAUUGCGCCUCCUGGUAUUCCGGGAGGCAUGCCUGUUCGAGCGUCAUUAAAAUCACUCAAGCUUAGGUUUACCUAUUGCUUGGUCUUGGAGAUGGAAGCCAAUUUAUUGGAAUCCUCUUCGAAAUUCAAUGGCGAAUACCCUUGCUCUCCCAAGUGUAGUAAUAACUUAUGUCACUGAAGGAAGCGAGAAAUCUUCUGCCGUAACCCCCAUAUUUUCUAUGAUUGACCUCGGAUCAGGUAGGGAUACCCGCUGAACUUAAGCAUAUCAAUAAGCGGAGGA
rnacentral:misc_RNA from 1 species